rnacentral:tRNA from 1 species
UGGCUCAGUGGUAGAGCGCUUGCCUUAUAUGCAUAAGGUCCUGGGUUCGAUUCCUCAG